AUGGCUCCCACCAAGAAGUCGAAGAAGAGCACGGAGAACAUCAACAACAAGCUGCAGCUGGUGAUGAAGAGCGGCAAGUACACGCUCGGCUACAAGACCGUCCUCAAGACGCUCCGGAGCUCCAAGGGGAAGUUGAUUAUCCUCGCAAACAACUGCCCUCCGCUCAGGAAGUCUGAGAUCGAGUACUAUGCUAUGCUGUCCAAGAUCAGCGUUCAUCAUUUCCAUGGAAACAAUGUUGACCUUGGAACUGCCUGCGGCAAGUACUACCGGGUCUGCUGUUUGAGCAUUCUUGACCCUGGUGACUCGGACAUCAUCACCACCGUUCCUCAGUGA
rnacentral:rRNA from 1 species